GAACUCACAGAGAUCUGCCUGCCUCUGCCUCCCAAGUGCUGGGAUCAAAGGCGUGCGCCACCACUGCCAGGCUGCCAGUCAAGUCUUUAAGGAACAUCAUCUUGAGCAAGUUAACCCUUCCAGAAUUUAGUUCCUCAUCUCAUGCUAUGGACUAAAUGUUUGUGUUCCAGUCACCAAUCAUAUGUUAAAACCUUGGCACCCCACCCCUUAUAAGCUGGUACUACCUCCCAAAUACAGCAAACAUAUCAAACAGGCUGCCAUCUGCAGGACAGGAAGAAGAGUUGUUUCCCAGUGGAGGGACCAAGUUUGAGAUUCACCAGUCAUGAUUAGGCACAAGUUCAGCUGUAACCCCAGAGCCAGAGCAGAACCUAACAAAUCUAGCAUUGAACUCGGACUCCUAAACCUCCAACCUGUGAGGACUAAAUGUCAGUUAGUUAAAGCACCUGGUCUAUGUUGUUUUGUUAUAGCAGCCUGUACAGACCUCAACAUCUAGAAAAACUAAAAACAAUUAGAUAAGAUGAUCUGCAGGCUAGCAUUCCUCUCUAGCAAGCUGUCAAUGGAGGUAUUUGAGCGACAGCAUUUCCAAAACCCAAUACUGCUUUGUAAAGUGCUCUUUGUCUUUCCACACACCGACCCUGCAUUCCAGAAUAAGCAAGCGCCUCUCUUCUUCAGCUUCAGAUUAAUCUAAAGCCAUGCUGGCCAGGAAUGUCAGCUCUGCCUCUGGAAUGCUGGAAAUACAACUUGCCUGUGCACUAUAUCAAGCUUUUUGUUGUUGUUGCUGCUGCUGCUGCUGCUGCUGUUUUAAAGGAGAGCCAGCAGAGCCCGUGCCUACUAUUUCUAAAGACUGAACACUAACAUCUGGCAUUUGCUGAACACCUUGUAUGUGUCACUGACUGCUCUAAAGUCUUUUCGGUACUGGCCCAAUUUACUCCUCACAGUAGAUCUACAACAUGGGCACAGUUGUUAUUACCCUCUAACAGAUGAGGAAACUGAGGCACAGACUCCACUCUUCAUCACCCUGCCACUGGACAGAGACUUGGCUUCUCCACUAUGGUACCCACUGCUGGGUAUGUGCAUCAACGUUCUUGUGGGGGAACCACUCAAGAGGACUGGGCGUAGCUGCUGCUGAGUCAGUCAGGGAUCCCAAACCUCUGGAGACUGAGAGAGGUGGUGUAGUGGCUAAAAAGGCAGUGUGGGGCUGGCUCCUUAGACACCCAAGGAAAGAAGGCCUCGCUGCUGAGUGGCACUCCCCGGGGGUGUGCACUCAGUCCCCGCAGGUGACUUCAAGACCCUGACAUGGGGAGAAGAAACAGCCUGCCACAGCUCUGGUGGCCUGGCAUUCCCUCCUUCCGCUCACCUGAUCUGGGGAGGGUGAGUUUUAAGAAGCCCUAUGGAGGCCUGGAACCACAAAUAGCACUGCAUUUCCCAGGUUUGUUUCCUAUACACGCAUACCUACGAUAGAGUUAAAUCCAUUAAUUAGAUGCUAUAAGAUAUUGACAAUAACUAAUGAUAACAGAACCAUAGUAACGCUAUACUGUAAUUAAACUGCCAGCGUCACUACUCUGGCACUCUGGAGCCACGAUUAUGUAAAACGAAGAGUCAGAUGAACAUCAGCACGGUGACGCAGUGGCAGUCAGCAGGACAACUGAAGUGGCUGCUAUGUGACCAAAGGGUGGAUGAGUCAUGUUCAGCUCAAGAGUGAACAGGGUGGCAGGAAGGCUGGUCUUACUGCUCACAACAGUGUGCAAUUUAAUGCCUGGGAAUUGUUUAGUUCUAGAGCUUCCCAUUUAUUAUUUUCAGCUGACCACAAGUAACUGAAACCGUGGAAAGGGAAACUGGAAAAGAAGGGACAAUUCUAAAAUCAUGUGGCAUGACACAUGUGUUACACAAGCAAGAACAAGGUAUCAUCUCGUGUGAUGGACUGAACGUUCAAAAACACCUUGUAUUAAACAGAGGGGAAACUUGAAAUGUGUGGGCUUCAUCCUUAGGAAAUAAUCUUCAAAUGGUUCACAAGUUCUUUAAGCUUAAUAAUCAGUAAAGUGUGGGGUGUUUUACACAUUCAAGCCAAAGGGUUUCAUAACUUAAGUUAGCAAUAUUUUAUGCUUUGGGGUCCUCUGGAUUCUAAAAGCCCAAUCAUUUUUAAAUAUUUUAAUAGAAAUACUCUAUUUUUGUUAACUUUGCAUGUGUGAGAAACAUUGUUCCUUUAAAUAUAAAAUAUG